rnacentral:lncRNA from 1 species
UCAGGAGAGGAGGGGGGCGGGGGAGAGCGGCUCCUCACUGGAGAGUGCACCACACGACACAGAGAUGUGUUAUGAUAGCACAGCGUGUACUGGUUAUGGAGCGAGCCCAGCUGAGUGCAUAGCAGUAAGGGAAGAAGAGGUCUGCAGGUCAGUACCACAUCAUUAAGAGGAAGGCACGGCUGCUUUACGCAGUGGGAAGAAGGAAAACAGUCUCUCAGCUGGGUCAGCCCUUCUACAACAGAAAAUAUUGCUGAUUUAUGCUCCCAAAUGGGAAAGCUCAACCUUUCCUACACAGAAGCUGCAUUUACACGGAGAGAGAUGCUCACUGCUAUCUGCAGGCCACUUGUUAACACAGUACCCGGGCACAACUGAAUAAUUCCAAGUAGACUCCGUGAUUAGAAGCUGGAUCCCAGAUUUCAGCUUGCCAAAGCUUUCCUAUGGAUCUACAGGACUGCAGGUUGAAGGAGCCCUGCUUUCACUCCGAGUAAUGUGACCUCCAUUCAGAUAAUAGCAGUUAAUCCCUCUAUAUUUUGGGAAAGUUUUAAUGCUGUCAGAGAAAACCACAAAGGGAGCAAGGGGCCGCCUGGCCACACGGAUACCCACAGCUCUCAUACACAGAGAUCAAUACAUCCUUUUUUAUUGAGCACUGGAAUUAAAAAAGUAACAGCACUUGGUUGAUUGGGAACUAAUAAUCAAAACUUGCCAGUAGCAGAAAUUUGCACAAGGACCUUUGCUGACUUCAGUCACACCCUUGUGCACCCGCAGCCUCUGCCAUUCUGCUCUGCCAGCACUGGGGCAGCUCCAGCACUGGCCUGCAGGUGAGAGUGGAUCUGGGAUUUACUUCUAGCACAGUUCAUCUCAAAGUGUUAGUUUCUAUUAACGCUAAAAUGCCCUGAGAGAAAGAGUUCCCCUCUGCAGCCCACAUCCUGCCACCAUUCCUGUUGAUUCCUGCCUUGACCCAACUAGUUCUCAUUAUUUCCCACUGCAAAGUGGUGUAAUACACCUGAGAGGAGGUGGCCCAGUAUGCAGCCCUGCUACAGUACUGCUGGUUUGCCUGUCACAGGGCAAAUGACACAGCUCUGUAGAUCUGUGUGCCCUGGUGGCCAAAGAAAGCCAAUGGUAAUCUGGGGUGCAUUAAAAAAAGCAUGGCUAGCAGGACGAGGGAGGUGAUCCUGCCCCUCUGCUCUGCCCUGGAGAGGCCACAUCUGGAAUACCAUGACCAGUUCUGGGCUUCAGGCCCUUAAUCAUCUUUGUGGCCCUCUGCUGGACUCUCUCUAGAUGAUCCCUACCUUACUCGAAAUGACAUAGCUACAACAAAUAUCUGGCCCUACAUGGGAAAGGGUGAAUCAGAGCUGCUUUUUAGUGCCACUUGACAUCAGUUAUACAUUCUAGUUCUCAUAUACACAGAUGGAUGUCUUUAAAAAUCAACAAUUUACACUUCAAAAAAGUUUUACAGUGAAGUUCUCUCAGCAAAGAUCAGUCCACACAAGGAGGAGCCAGACUACUGCAGGCAGAAGGCACUUGGCCUUGAUGUGGAUUUGAGAACAAGUCCUCAAGGGGCAGGCACCAACUGCCCUAUGUCCUGCCACACCUCAGUAGUUGUGCAAAGUCUGGUGUAACCACCCCAUGCUGCCCCAUCCUCACAGGGUGGUGGAGGGGAGCUUCUUCACCCGCCGCUGUGCCAGGAUGGAAGACUCGAUAGGCUUCAGCUGGGGGCUCGGCUUGGAGCUGUUCAGUGCAGAGUACGUGGCAGCCAUUGCCCCCUUGGAGAGAAGACACAAGAGUGAUCACUCAGGUGCGGAAGAUGCUUUAUAAGAGAAGAGAGCAGAGGAGCCAGAAACAAAGCCAGGAGCAUCUUGCUUUUUUUCUUUAAAUCUCCAUCCCUCAUUGACAUGCCAUUCAUAGAAUGACAGAAUCACUGAGUUUUGGAAAAGACCUCUAAGAUCACCAAGUCCAACCCCAGCCCAUCCCCACCAUGCCCACUGACCAUGCUCCUCAGUGCCACAUCUCCAUAUUUUCCAAACACCUUCAGGAAUGGUGACUCCACCAACCUCCCUGGGCAGCUUGUUCCAAUGUAUUAGCACUCUUUCUGACAUUUUUCCAAAUAUUCAAUCUGAUCCUCUUCUGGCACACCUUGAGGCCAUCACCUCUCAUCCUAUCGCUGCUACCUGGGAGCAGAGGUUGACCCCCAUCUCAUUAC